rnacentral:tRNA from 1 species
GUUCCCCGAUCCGCUGGCCGAGAUCUCAAGCUUGGAUGCAACUUCGGAUUCGCCCCAGGCAGGAGGAAGGAAGCCCCGAUUGGAAACGUUGACUUGAAUCUUCUCGGAUCAGAAUUAGCAGGUUAAGAAAAACUGUUUCCCCGUAAGAAGCAGGGUUCUUUGGUGUUCAAUGUGGAGCUCCGCCACUCCCAGCCCGGGUGAAGGAAAACUGGGAAACAGAAUGAAUGUGAUUAUCUAUUCGAAGAUAAAUUUCCACAAAGCAUGCCGUUUGAUAGUAGCUUAUAAUGUGGAAGUAAGGCAUCCUGUCAUCCGGCCGGUUAGCUCAGUUGGUUAGAGCGUGGUGCUAAUAACGCCAAGGUCGCGGGUUCGAUCCCCGUACUGGCCAAGUAUUCUCUGUGGCUUUUAUCACCAGAAUGGAUAGUAACCCAGACAUCGAUCUAAACGUGUACCUGUGUGUUUCUCCAGGCUUAACUUUGCCCCGAGAAAACGGAUCUGUGAAUUUGGUGCGCCCUCGCUUACUCGACAGCGGUUAAUUUGAACGGGGACGUUUCUUUCCGCUGCCUCCAAGGCAUACCCACAUCCUACCCGUAAAACAAAGGGGCUAUAGGCACCUUACAGUGACAGAGGUACGUUACGGUUGGAGGCUUUUGUGAUUUUUGUCCUCCUCUGCCCCGGGG